rnacentral:lncRNA from 1 species
UUUUUAUUCGGGUAUCCAUGAGAUCCGAAGUAUGCACGGGUUUACGCGACAUCCCUCAUAUCACUUCUACCUAUAGCCUUUUCCGCAGUUUCUUUUAAAGGCUGAAGGGAAGAGAGAAGGAAGGAAUCAUACUUUGAAAAAGUGCAGUGUCUUGUGCGGCUCGAAGAAGAAGUCUAGUCCAAUGUAUUCCAACUCCCAAGGUAAGAGACUAAGUCCAAUUAAGUCCUGAUAAAAGUAGAGACAACGUUAGAUCAACUGGAUAUCCAAUGAAUAAGGGCUUUCAGGCUUGUUGAUACAGCUCAUAGUCAUUC